rnacentral:rRNA from 1 species
AGAGUUUGAUCCUGGCUCAGGAUGAACGCUAGCGACAGGCUUAACACAUGCAAGUCGAGGGGCAGCGGGGGCGUAGCAAUAUGCCUGCCGGCGACCGGCGCACGGGUGAGUAACACGUAUGUAACCUGCCCUAUGCAGGGGGAUAACCCGGAGAAAUCCGGCCUAAUACCGCGUAACACCUUAGGGGAGCAUUCUCUUGAGGUUAAAGGAGAGAUCCGGCAUAGGAUGGACAUGCGUCGCAUUAGGUAGACGGCGGGGUAACGGCCCACCGUGCCGACGAUGCGUAGGGGUUCUGAGAGGAAGGCCCCCCACACUGGUACUGAGACACGGACCAGACUCCUACGGGAGGCAGCAGUGAGGAAUAUUGGUCAAUGGCCGAGAGGCUGAACCAGCCAAGUCGCGUGAGGGAAGAAUGUCCUAAGGAUUGUAAACCUCUUUUGUCGGGGAGCAAAAAGGCUCUGCGGAGUCGUAUUGAGAGUACCCGAAGAAAAAGCAUCGGCUAACUCCGUGCCAGCAGCCGCGGUAAUACGGAGGAUGCGAGCGUUAUCCGGAUUUAUUGGGUUUAAAGGGUGCGCAGGCGGCGUGUCAAGCAAGCGGUAAAAUAGCGGGGCUCAACCCCGUCGAGCCGUUUGAACUGGCGCGCUUGAGUUCAGGCGAGGUAGGCGGAAUUCGUGGUGUAGCGGUGAAAUGCAUAGAUAUCACGAAGAACUCCGAUUGCGAAGGCAGCUUACCAGUCUGCGACUGACGCUCAGGCACGAAAGUGUGGGUAUCGAACAGGAUUAGAUACCCUGGUAGUCCACACAGUAAACGAUGAGCGCUAGGUGUCCGGGUCGCAUGAGACUUGGGUGCCCGAGCGAAAGCGUUAAGCGCUCCACCUGGGGAGUACGCCGGCAACGGUGAAACUCAAAGGAAUUGACGGGGGCCCGCACAAGCGGAGGAACAUGUGGUUUAAUUCGAUGAUACGCGAGGAACCUUACCCGGGCUCAAACGACUCAGGAAUAUAUUGGAAACGAUGUAGCCAGCAAUGGUCUGAGUCGAGGUGCUGCAUGGUUGUCGUCAGCUCGUGCCGUGAGGUGUCGGCUUAAGUGCCAUAACGAGCGCAACCCCUACCGCCAGUUGCCAACGGGUAAAGCCGGGAACUCUGGCGGGACUGCCGGCGCAAGCUGCGAGGAAGGCGGGGAUGACGUCAAAUCAGCACGGCCCUUACGUCCGGGGCGACACACGUGUUACAAUGGCAGGUACAGCGGGAAGCCACCUGGUGACAGGGAGCGGAACCCGAAAGCCUGUCUCAGUUCGGAUUGGAGUCUGCAACUCGACUCCAUGAAGCUGGAAUCGCUAGUAAUCGCGGAUCAGAAUGCCGCGGUGAAUACGUUCCCGGGUCUUGCACUCACCGCCCGUCAAG